AUUGAACGCUGGCGGCAUGCCUUACACAUGCAAGUCGAACGGCAACGCGCGCUUCGGUCUCGACGCGUGUCGAGCAGGGGAGUGUUACACCUCGGCACGUGCGCACGAGUGGGGUAACGAGGCGCAAGCUCCGCUUAUAUCCCACACACGCUCCGAGGGAGAACGGGGGGGCCCAAGGCGCCUCGCGGACUGGGCGGGCGAUGGCGGAUUAGCUAGUUGGUGGGGUAAAAGCUUACCAAGGCGACGAUCUGUAGCUGGUCUGAGAGGACGACCAGCCACACUGGGACUGAGACACGGCCCAGACUCCUACGGGAGGCAGCAGUGGGGAAUUUUGGACAAUGGGGGCAAGCCUGAUCCAGCCAUGCCGCGUGCGGGAAGAAGGCCUUCGGGUUGUAAACUGCUUUUGUUCGGGAAGAAAGGCUCUGUUCUAAUACAGCGGGGUGAUGACGGUACCGUAAGAAUAAGCACCGGCUAACUACGUG
rnacentral:rRNA from 1 species